UCAACAUCCAUUGGGAUAAACACCCCAACAGCUAGCACUAUAAAUCAUGAAAUUGUUAUGGCUUUAUCUCGAAAGUUUUCCGCGAUAGUGCCAAACGAUACCAUAAGCCGACUUUUAUAAAAAACUUCCCUAAAUAAAAGCUUUUUGAGAGUUUGUAGAAAGUGUCAUUCGAGAUGUAUUGAGUUGAACGUCAAAGCGAUGGACAGCUGUAAUUUUCCGCGUUCUUAUACUGGUCUCGAUGGAAUUCAGCAGGUUAAGUCAAACACUUCCUGAGAAAAUAUUUACGGAAAAAUAGGCAUAACCUCUUUUCUGUAUAUAAUCUAGCAGUCUCAGAUUAUGUUUAUGUGCGGAGAUCCAUAUAUAUGAGCAAAAUUCCAAAGGAGGUCUAAUGAAACAUUAAAAAUUCUCGAGAUAUCUACAAUUCACUAAUUCGAAAUAGUGUUGUUUUAAGUUUUUGAGACGAUUUUUUGACUAUUCCAAUCAAAUGAUUGGUACUUGUUCAAUUUGAUACCCUACAAAAUUAUCGAGGUUGUUAGCAACAUUAUUAAGUCAUUUAUUCUGAUGAAUAACGUGAAGUAAUUCGUGGUUUGGCUUUCAUUGAGUGAACUGGUCGAAAAAGUGUCAGCGUCACAAAUUGGAAGAGAGAUUGACUCUGCAAGCAGCGAAGAUCAAACAGCACGAGAAGAGAUAACGGACCAGUAAACAUCAAAUCUAAUCAAGAAAACAGAAGUCUUGGAUUACAGCAUGAUUCACAAUCAGACCAAGCUGUAACCAUCCGAAUCGAGCUGGCUAAAUGCGCCUAUAGGGAAGCAAAGGCCAAGAACUUUGAGUGAAGUGAAGUGAAG